CAGUUCUCUGUCAGUGAUAAUUACUACAAAAUCUGCUCACUCGCUUCUGUGCAACAGGAUAGACUCUUCCAACGUGUGUAGAGAUGGACAGAAUUACAAGAAGGUUACUUUGUCAAGCAGGCAAGUUUGACAUCUAUGGGCAAUGCAGAAUUCCAUUCCUGGGCAUUUCACAACUUUGGUGGAAAAAAUAUUUUGGUGAUAAAAGUUUGUGGUUAGAAGUAACAUUAAACUUGUCAUUCAAAGCAGUCUUUGCUGCAACAGAGAUGUGUUGUCCUCCUUCCUGCUUUUUCCCAAGAGCGUACCUCCUAGGAGUUAAAAAUACAGUCAUUUUUAUAACAGAGACUGGUGGAUAGCUGAUGUCUGAGAACAAAGUAAAAGCAUUAGUGGGUUUUGCAUGGAUUUAGAAUACAUCUAAAACUGGGCCCAGUAACUUAAUUUACAAUAUAGAACGUCUGAAUUAAUUCCUUGUCAUGAUAAUGUUCAUUCUCAAUUACUGUAGCUUCAAUCCUUAAACACUAAGGUGAACUAAAAGAAGACUAAAUGGGAGGCUUAUUUGUUCUUUGUGUAACAUUUUGCAUGUGAAAUACUACUCUGGCAUUUCAAAACUGACUCAACACCCUUUGGUAAACUAAAUGAGAAGCAAAUGAAAGCAACUACCUGUCCAUUUGAGCAUCCUCUGUUAACUUAUUGAUGAUGAUGUAAAAUGAUUCACUGACUCAUUCAAUAAGAGCAAACAGAAUGUGCUUACAUUCUAGAGAAGGGUCCACAAGUAACUCAUAAGUAAGUGUUGAAUUAUCUGACACACAUACAUGCGAUGUCUGUAAAAUAAUGUCAGAAGGAGAGAUUAAUGAAACAGAUGGUUGUGUUAUGAAUUAAUUGAAUGUCAGAAUACAGUCUGGAGCAGUGGGGAAGAUGUAUUCAGAGAGCUGUGCCAAAUGCAGGUUACGAACGUCUCAAUCAGUCCAUCUCUGUGGAGAGCAAAGGGCUGAGCUGACUUGAGAGCGCUUGAUGGCUGCCUUGUAAAUAGCGCACGUCGGAUCCAGAGAGGCUGGUGAGUGGGUGGUAUUGGUGUGAGAUGCUGUGCUGCUUUCAAAGCAGCUGUAGCUGUUGGUGGCAUGCUGUCAGAGAGGAUGUGCAUUGACAUCUGUCAGUGGAGGAAAUAA
rnacentral:lncRNA from 1 species